UUCUUGUCUGUUCUGUGCCUUCCAGAAAGGCCAACUUCACAUCAAUGGGUGGAUCGUACCUCGGCCUAAGCUCCAGGAUUGAUUGUGCUGUUAGAGUCACAGCUACAACCGGCUCAGGGAACCCAGUGGAAGAGGAGGUGGAGUGUGAGAGCCAAUUGGAAUGGAAGACAGUGAGGAAACAAGGCCUUCGAGACACAAGAGGACUGCUGAGCUCACAAAGACUGAGGCAGCACCCUCAGGACCUGCACAGGUCUAAGCUUGAUGCGAUCUGAGUACUGAGAGGGCAACUGGACACAAUUCUAUAUUGAUAACCCAGAAGCUUUCUCCAGUUGAUAAACUCUUUCAAAGGAAAAACUUGUUUUCUACCAUGGAGUGACACUGGAUAUAGAAACUACCGUUAACAGCAGACUCCAUGGCUCAGACUUCCAAUACAAUAUGAACUCAGUUGCAAUUUUUUGCAAGGUUUUUCGACUCAUAGUUCUUUGUCUGGGUACUUUUUCACCCUACAGAGAAUUUCUGUAUAUAUUAUCGUUUCUGAUUCUAGUGUUUUGAAUUUUCGCUGGGUCUAAAUAUCUCUGUCUCAGUGUCAGUAUGUGUUUCUCAUGAUUUUUCUUUGCUUCUCUUUUUCCUAUUCUUUGCUUGUAUUCCCUGGUUUGUGUUUGAGUGUCUGGGAACUCUGAGGGUCUGGUUGGUGAUAUUGUUGUUCUUCCUAUGGGGUUGAAAACCCCUUCAGCUCCUUCAGCCUUUCACUAAGUCCUCCAUUAUUAUGAUUCCUAUGCUCAGUCCAGUGGUUGGAUGUGAGCCCCCCCCCCCCUCUGCAUUUGUCAGGCUCCGGCAGAGCCUCUAAGGAGAUAGCUAUAUUAGGCUCUUGUCAGCUUUGUUUGUUUUUAUUCUGUCUUCUCUAUACUGUUUAUUUUAGAUAACUGUGUUUAUUCUAAUGUAUGAAUGAAUAAAUGGGUGUGUGUUUGGGUGGGUGGGGAAUUGGGGAGGGUGGGGGUGGAUGUGGGAGGGGAAACUGUAACACAAAUACAUUGUAUAAAAGUACAUUUUAAUAAAUGUAUUUCUUCUAUGACU
rnacentral:lncRNA from 1 species